UGAUCCACCCACCUCAGCCUCCCAAAGUGCUGGGAUUACAGGCGUCAGCCACCAUGCCCAGCUCCUGUAUUUUCUUAAUUUAUUCUUCUAAGAUCUCCGUGGUUCUGGAUAUAUAUUUAAAUAUAAAAUCAUUCUGAACUGAAUUUUUGUGCAUGGAGUACAGAAGAAUUGACCAUUGAUUGUCUCUAUUGUUUGUUUAUUUUUCUAUUUCAUGAUUUUCUUUAUUUUUAUUAUUGGCUUAUAUUUAUUAACUUUGGGGUUGUUUUACUCUUUUUUUUCAGGGUUCUUAUUAUAAAAGCGUAGGUAAUUGACUUUAGUCCUUUGUUCGUUUCCUCUACAGGCAUUUAAAGUUGUAAGUUUCUCUCUAAGCACUAUGUCAGCUGUGUCCAACAUUUUGGUGCAUGGGGUUAUCAUCAUUCAGUUACUGAUGUUUUGAAUUCUUUCUUGUGAGUUUGUCUUUGACCCAAGUGACCCAUACCAACAGAGUACGUUGCUUGUUUUCUAAAAUUGGGGAUUUUCUAGGUAUCUUAUUUUUAUGGAUUUCUAAUUUAAUACUAUUGUGGCCAUAGCAUAUACUCUGUAUGAUUUUGAUCCUUACAUAUAUAUUGAAACUUGAUUUAUGGUGCAGCAUAUGGUCUGUGUUGGUGAACAUCCCGUAAACACUCGAAAAUAAUGCUUUCUACAGUUAUUCGAAAUAAUAUUCUACAAAUGGUUUGGUUUGAAACCCCACUCUAGGUCUUGCCCUCCUCCCGUGUUGUAGACAUUCAACUGCUACCUGGGACCUGACUACCAAUGCUUCAAACCCACUUGCCUAGAAAAUGUUGGCCCUGUGCUAUAACAACUUGUUCUCUGAUAGCAACAGGCCCUGGGUCUUGCUGAGACAUGUGGAACACUAUCUGAACCAUUCAGGCGCGUCACAUAUGUUUGCCUGCUGUAGCACAUGCUAGAGUGCACCUUAUAGAUCCCCCAUUGCCUUCAGUAUGGGGCUGCACAUUCCCUCAGAUGUUGAGAGUCCUGGAGGCUGUAGAUUUCAGCCAGCGUCUCUUGGAGUGUCUGAGUGGAACCAAUAAAUAAAAGCCGUAAAGAAAGUGAGAAAUUAAACAAAGGGCAAGACUGAUGAGGGCCACACUACUAAAUUUCUUUUAUUUUUAAAUAGCUUUACUGAGGUAUAAUUGACAUAACAUUUGCUUAUUUUAAGUGUGCAGUUAGAUUAUUUUCAGUAAAAUUUUAGACUUGUGUGACCAUCACCACGAUCCUGUUUUGCAACAUUUCUAUCAUUCCUAAGAAAUCCCUCAUGUUCAUCAAUCACCACCACUUUUUCCCAGUCCCCAGCUCCAGGCACCUCCUAAUUGAUUUUCUGACUCUACAGAUUUGCCUUUUCUGGAGACCAUAUAAAUGGAAUAAUGCAAUAUGUUGUCUUUUGUAUCUGUCUUCUUUCGUUUAGUUUAAUAUACUUUUAUGGUUCAUGUAUGUGGCAGCACAGAUCAAUAUUUAAUUACUUUUAGGUGCCAAAUCCUAUUAAAUUAUAUGGAUAGCUCCCAUUAGUUUAUUCAUUUUAUCAGUUGAUAGAUAUUUGAGUGUUUCAACUUUAUGGACUGUUACGGAUAAAGUUGCUAUGAAUAUUCACAUUCAUGUGUUGUGUGAACAUAGGAUUUUUUCUUUUGGGUAAAUAGCUAGGAGUGAUAGUGCUAGGUCGUAUGGUAAAUGUAUCUUCAACAUUUUAAGAUACUGCGAAACUGGUUUCCAACAUGGCUGCAUGUCCCAUCAACACUGCGUGAGUAUUUUAGUUUUUCCACAUCAUUGUUAUUUCACUUCCUCCAGGUGUUACUGUCCUUUUUUGUUAUAGCACUCUAGUGGGGAAGAAGUGGUGUCUCGUUGUAGUUCUGAUUUGCAUUUCCCUGCUGACUGAUGAUGCUGAUCAUCUUUUCAUGUACUUUGUUGACUCUUCCUACACCUUUUUGAUGAAAUUUUGCCUAUUUUAAAAUUGGGUUAUUUAUCUUUUCGUUGCUUAGUUGUAAGUGCAUUUCGUAUUCUGGACAUGAGUCCUUUAUCAAAUAUAUGAUUUGAAUUUUUUUUUCUCAGUCUAUGGGUUAUCUCUUCAUUUUCUUAUUGAUGGCUUUUAAAUGCCAACAUUUUUAGUUUUGAUCCUGUUUCAUUUUUCAACUACUUUUUAACCAGGAAAAUUUGGGUUUUUGCCUAAUUCAAGAUUAUGAAUAUGUUAAUCUAUGUUUUCUUCUAAGAGGUGUACAGUUUAGCCCUUAAUUUUAGGCCUAUAAUUUAUUUUGAGGGAAUUUUUGCCUAUGUGUGAGUUAAUGGCCUAAAUUCAUAUGGCCAAUUGAUUUUGACAAUAGUAAAUUCAAUAGGGAAAAAGACUGUCUUUUAAACAAGUGACACUGAGACAGCUGAACUGUCCACAUGCUCAGGGAAUGUCAGCCUGCUAUGUCAAGUGAUGCCCACCCAAGUCACCACCUAUUGGCAUCAGAGUGUGUGAAGAAUUUCUCAAUAUGAUAACUGUGGGUUAAAUAAUAUGCUGCAGCUCUCCGCUUCUCCCGUUCAACAGACAGCCACAUCUUCUUGUGCAGUGCCAGCCACAUCCCUGAGACACCAUGGUAAAGGUGAAGGCCAGAGUCAAUGGAUUUGGCCCUAUUGGGUGCCUGGUCACCAAGCCUACUUAUAACUCUGGUAAAGUGGAUAUUGUCACCAUCAAUGACCCCUUCAUUGAGCUUAACUACAUGGUCUACAUGUUCCAUAUGAUUUCACCCAUGGCAAAUUCCUUUGCACUGUAAAGGCUGAGAAUGGGAAGCUUGUCAUCAAUGGAAAUCCCACCACCAUCUUCCAUAAGCUAAAUCCCACCAAAAUCAAAUAAGGCAAUGCUGGUACUAAGCACAUCGUAGAUUCCAGUGGCAUCUUCACUACCAUGGGGAAGUGUGUGGCUCAUUUGCAGGGGACAGUUAAAAGGAUCAUCAUCUCUAACCCCUCUGCUGACACCCCCAUGUUUGUGAUGGGUAUGAACAAUGAGAAAUAUGACAACAGCCUCAAGAUCAUCAGCAAUGUUUCUUGUACCACCAAUUGCUUAGCACCUCUGACCAAGAUCAUUCAUGACAAGUUUAAUACAGUGAAGGGACUCAUGACCACUGUCAGUGCUAUGACUGAAAACUGUGGAUGGCCCCUCUGUGAAACUGUAGCAUGACAGCUGCAGGGCUCAAAGGAACAUCAUCCUUGCAUCAUCCUUGCAUCUACUGGCACUGUCAAGGCUGUGGGCAAGUAUAUCAAUGAGCUGCAUGGGAAGAGCACUGGCAUGACAUUCCAGGUCCCCACCACAAACAUGUUGGUCAUAAAUAUGACCUGUCCUCAGGAAAAACAUGCCAAAUAUGAUAACAUCAAGAAGGUGGUGAAGCAGCACCAGAAGGCCCCCAUAAGGGCAUCUUGUGCGACACUAAGAACGAGGUUGUCUCCUCCAGCUGAACCACUGACACCCACUCUUUCACCUUGGAUCCUGGGACUGGCAUUGCCCUCAAUGACCACUUUGUUAAGCUCAUUUUCUGAUGUGAAAAUGAGUUUGGCUACAGCAACAGGGUGGUUAACCUCAUGGCUCACGUGGCCUCCAAGGAGUAAGACCUGUGGACCACCAGCCCCAGCGAUAGCAUGAGAGGAAAACAGAGGCCCUCAGCUGCUGGGGAGUCCCUGCCACACUCAGUCCCCCCCAACACUGAGAAUCUCUCCUCCACACAGUUUAGUGCAGACCCCCUGAAGAGGGAGGUGCCUAGGGAACCCCACCUUGUCAUGUACCACCCAUAAAGUCCCCUGUCUGUACUCAGAAAAAAAAAAUGCAAUAUUAGGAAGACUCACAAAGAUUACUGAUCAGCAAAAGAAUAGACAGCAUGAUUUCUCCAUCCUCCUAUUUUAUACUGAUGCAUAAAUGGUCAGGAAAUGCUGGACUCACAGUGGGAGUCUGCAUUCCAGUGUGGGAACAAUAAUCUCCCUUGUUAUAAUUUUUUAUCACGUAAGCACAAACACAGCUUUAUCAUGGGGGCACACACAGGCUGUUGGUGUGAAAUAUUCUAGAUUUAGGUGUCAGCUGUUCACAAGAUUGUCUGGAAAAAUCAACUGCCCGGCAUCUAGAGUCCUUGGGGCUCACGCAAAGCGUUUCCCUUUUCUUAGGGGAGAAAGCCACCCAUUUUAUAGGGAUCUAUACUGAGCACAGUCUCUCAUGCUGGGAAAAGGAAAAUCCCUCUUCUUGGCUGGCUUACUAAACUCCUGGUUUACUUUAGGAUAAUUACACCCCUUGUGCUUGAGUCCUAGAGAGGUCAUGAGUAGCAUAGAAUAAGUUUUAAAGGCACAGGACUAGAUGAAAUAAGUUAGGGUAAGAAUAUUCAUGGAUAACAGGGGAAGUUUCUGGACUGAAUCCUGGAAUACACAUAUCAACAUUUGGAAGUUGAACAGAGAAGGAGGGGCCAGCUAAGUAUGCUGAGUAGGAGUUGGUGGCAGGAAGGAGAAAAAUUAGGAGGACAUGGCCUUGUGAAAGUCAAGUGAAGAAAGUGUUUCAAGAAGAGUUUGGUUCACUAUGUUGGGUGCUGCUGUCACAUCAAAUGCAGUAGGAAAAUAAACGAUUAUUGAUUUUGGCAACAUUGUAAGUAAUUUGUUUAGAACAAUUUCCACAAAUAGUUGGGUUGAAAGUUCAACUGGAAAGUCCAACACACAAUUCAUUUGUGUGUUGAGGAAGAGAAGAAAAAUGUGGAAAGAGUGACUCUUAAAAACAACACCUGUUCAAGAAGUUGUACCAUGAAGAUCUCAGUAAAAAGGUGUUACAGCCAGUGGAGUGAAGAGUUUAUUCUUGUUGUGUUGUCUUAAACUGGACUACUCCUUUACUGAUCCUUAGCACCUUGUACAGAGCAAUGUUCAAACAUUGUUGAGUGUUUGAUGAAAUAAAGUGUCUAUGUCUCAUA